rnacentral:lncRNA from 1 species
GUAUGAAGUAACAAGCCAAAAGAUUCUAGGUAUUCAUGUGGAAGAGAGGCUGUAGUGGUGGUGGUGGCGGUGGUGGUAUUUAUGUAGGGUGACGGGAGAUGUUUAAAAACCAGUGGGCACAGGGCUGGCUGGGAGGAACCAUAUGACAUGUGGUAGAGAAGAGAGGAAGAAAAGAGAGAGAGAGAGAAAAAGAAUGAAGACAAAAAAACAAGUAACUGGAACAGAACAGCUGAGGAGGAAAUGCUAAGUGGCAAAAUGUAACAGAAGAGUAGAUCUCUCUGAGCGGCCAUGGACUCAUCAAGGAGACCCUGCAGUGUUUUGAUGCCAGGCAUAUCGGAGCUGGUUUAAUCUCGUUAGGACAGUCAUCUCUAGACACCUGGUGUGCUGAUAUUUGGGCCACAACAAAAGGAAGAAUAAUAAUCAAUGAAGGUUUGUCUGAGAGACUGCCGUCGGAUUCAGUACAUUCAGUUCCAGUAAACUCCCAUCUCCCCUUGUCGUUAAGAGACGUCCCAGUCAUAAUCACCUUCAUACCAUGGCGUAUCACUGGGGCAGCUGAAAGUUUUGUAGGAAAGGGGGUAGAUUUUUUCUCAAAAUAGUUUCAGUGGUUUUCCACCCCUCAUGUCAUGGUCAAAGGGGUGCUAGGUAUUAAUGCAAGAAAUCUGGGCUGAAACAAACAAGGAGUAGAAGGAUAAGGCAGGAAAAAGAUUAACUACACUGGAAAAGGAUAGAUACUUAAUGUCUAAAGCAGAGAUAGUUUAAUGCAAAUGAGUCUUAUGGAUCUCAGAGAGACCCACAGGGCCAGAAAUUUUGCCCCAACACACUCAUCACAGAGUUCUAAGAGACUGGAUUAUUUGGUUGUGAUGAUUUUGUUGGUAUAUGAAAUAUUGCUUACAAAAAAUCAUAAACAUUGUCU